rnacentral:rRNA from 1 species
AUUGAACGCUGGCGGCAGGCUUAACACAUGCGAGUCGAGCGGGGAAGGUAGCUUGCUACCGGACCUAGCGGCGGACGGGUGAGUAAUGCUUAGGAAUCUGCCUAUUAGUGGGGGACAACAUCUCGAAAGGGAUGCUAAUACCGCAUACGUCCUACGGGAGAAAGCAGGGGAUCUUCGGACCUUGCGCUAAUAGAUGAGCCUAAGUCGGAUUAGCUAGUUGGUGGGGUAAAGGCCUACCAAGGCGACGAUCUGUAGCGGGUCUGAGAGGAUGAUCCGCCACACUGGGACUGAGACACGGCCCAGACUCCUACGGGAGGCAGCAGUGGGGAAUAUUGGACAAUGGGGGGAACCCUGAUCCAGCCAUGCCGCGUGUGUGAAGAAGGCCUUAUGGUUGUAAAGCACUUUAAGCGAGGAGGAGGCUACUCUAGUUAAUACCUAGGGAUAGUGGACGUUACUCGCAGAAUAAGCACCGGCUACUCUGUGCCAGCCGCCGCCGUAA